GAUGAACGCUAGCUACAGGCUUAACACAUGCAAGUCGAGGGGCAGCAUGAACAAAGCUUGCUUUGUUUGAUGGCGACCGGCGCACGGGUGCGUAACACGUAUCCAAUCUGCCCGCGGCUCGGGGAUAGCCCAUCGAAAGAUGGAUUAAUACCCGAUGGCGUGGUCACUCCGCAUGGGGUUUCCACUAAAGGUUUUCCGGCCGCGGAUAGGCUCGCGUGACAUUAGCUAGAUGGCGGGGUAACGGCCCACCAUGGCGACGAUGUCUAGGGGUUCUGAGAGGAAGGUCCCCCACACUGGAACUGAGACACGGUCCAGACUCCUACGGGAGGCAGCAGUGAGGAAUAUUGGUCAAUGGUCUGACGACUGAACCAGCCAUGCCGCGUGAAGGUCACGGCCCUAUGGGUCUUAAAACUUCUUUUUGUAAGGGAGCAAAUAAGGUGUACGUGUACAUCGAUGAGAGUACCUUACGAAUAAGCAUCGGCUAACUCCGUGCC
rnacentral:rRNA from 1 species